CUACUGCAGUCCCAACCUGCCUCGCUGCUGCCACUGUACCCUGCGCAUUGGUCCUGCUGUCACCUGCAGAAAACUCAUCCAGCAGAUUGCCUGAAAUUAACUUUUCCGCAGAACUUCUUCCCCUGGGGCUCAAGACGUUUUCAUCACACCAUUCUGGGGUUCUUUGAAGACAUCAGGAACCUCCUUUCAGGAUUCAAGUCACUCCCUAGGUAAGACUGACAUCAUCAUCUGAUAUCAGUUCCCACGGUGCUAUCGUGUAACCCGGCAAACAAGCCCUGCGGCGCUCAGCUGUGAAGUGUCCCUGCAGCUCACCCAUAGCAAACUGAGCUCUGCGUGGUACAAGAUGAGCCUGCACAUUCUGUCCCCUGUGGGCCAAGUGUCGUAGAGAAGAUGAAGGUUUUGCUUGAUAUAACAACUUUCAUUUUAGAAUAUUUUAUUUGCAUCCUUUCUGUCUGCCAGAAAUUACAUAGUUGGUACCAUUUUAUAUUAAGCCCCUUAUUAAAUUCUGGUGAUAAAUGAAAAUCAUUUUUUUAUAGAAGAAGAUGUUACUUUUCAAUUGUUACUAGUAGAGGAAUGAAUAUUCAUCUUGAAGUAUAAAAUAUUUAUGAAAUGAGGAAAGAGAGUGACCAGAAUGCACUCUUGCCUUCCUUCCUUUGGAAGGCAUUAGCUCAUGCAUUAAUAGCCCACUCCUACUCGCUUUGGUUUCCUUACUCAUAUUACACUGUAAAUCUUUGGACAUUGCCAACCAACCAAUCAUACUCAGUGUGAUGUAACCCUGAAUAAUCUCUGUCUAUGGAUUUACAGGCUGAGAAGGUACCAGUGAAUCAAAGAAUGAUGAUUUGAUCACUUUGGACUGUCUUAAAUAAAGUGGUACUAAAUAUAAGUGUGGCCAGUUCUAGAACAAUCAUGCACAUGCACGAUUCAGGAUACUGUCCUGCUAAAUAUUUCUGUAACAUAACAAAUCAUUCUACUAAAUAAGAACAUAACAUAUUGCAAUAUGAAAUAUUAAUGGAGGACUUUGGUUGAAACAAUUACUUUAAAAAAAAGUAAUGUCAAGGUAGCUCAGCAGGUAAAGACAUAAACUGAUGAGUCUGCUAACAAACUCACACGGUGAAAGGAAGCGACUUUGAUUCCAGCAAGUUGUCUUCUGAAACACAUGUGUUGUAGUGGUUGUGUACACACACACACACACACACACACACACACACACACAAUGGAUCACUGCCAAGAAUUUCUUUAAUAAAAUGGGCUACAGUCAGAGCUAACUGGAUAGCAAAACCCUGUUAAUAGAAAGUUUGUUAUGAAAAGUCCUUAAACUAACCACGCAAGAAAGAAAUCCCAGCAUGCCUAGCUUCCAGUAAAUGGCAUGCUAUUCAGCUCAGCCUCAUUAUUUCAACUCAGCUUCUAGGGGACAAUCAAAAGAGUAACUAGGAAUCUGGAUAUAAUUGCACAUUAUAUCAAGAAUAUUAAAUCACCACAGUGUGUGAGCUUUGACAGUUUACAGCAAGGUGUCUAAGCAGAUGCUGAGAGACUCAUAGCCAAACUUUAAGCAGAGUGCAGAGAAUCUUAUGAAAGAAGGAGGAGAUAGACCUGGAGAGGACAGGAGCUCCACAAAGAGACCAACAGAACCGAAAAGCCUGGGCCUGGAGGUCGUUUGUGAGACUGAUACUCCAACCAAGGACCAUGCGUGGAAAUAACCUAGAAUCCUUGCAAAGAUGUAGCCCAUGGCAGCUCAGUCUCCAAGUGGGUUUUCUAGUAAUGGGAACAGGGACUGUCUCUGACAUGAACUCAGUGGCUGGCUCUUUGAUCACUUCCCCCUGAGGGGGGAGCAGCCUUACCAGGCCACAGAGAAAGACAAUGCAUCCAGUCCUGAUGAGACCUGACAGGCUAGGGUCAAAGGGAAAGAUAGGAGGACCUUCUCUAUCAGUGGACUUGGGGAGGGGCAUGAGAGAAGACAAGGGAGAGAGAGGUAAUGAGAGAGGGGGUUACAGCUGGGAUGCAAAGUGAAUAAAAUGUAAUUUAUAAAACAAAUAAUAAAUUAUUUAAGAAAAAGAAAAAUCAACUCAACAUUGAUUCAACCUGAUGCUAUCAAAUCAUGUAGGGAAAUCUACAGUAACUGGCUGUCUUCAAUAACAACACCCUUCAGUUCCAUUUUGAUGUCACAAUUAUUACUAUGUAUAAGUAAAUGAUAUGUUCAGUGACUGUCAUAUGACGAACAAAGACAAAAGAAUUUGCAGCAAGUUUCCAACUGGAACAGAAAGGUGAUGAUGGAAAAAUUCCCAAACACACUGGCAGCUCCCUGGAAGCUGGAAUGCAGUUUGGAAGAGACAGUA